GAAACGAACUUAGGCUGAUUUAAAGUCGAGGCAAUGAGUGAUAGUCUACCGAUUGAAAGGUGAAUGAUUAACAUUGGUGUUCAUUCAUUGUGCCGAGAAUGUGGCAAUCACUGCCGAAAGCAAUGAAACCAUGACAACAGUCAAUCGAGGCUUGUUUAUCUCGCCAAACCCUGUUGUGGGAGAGUGGGUCGGGCAAGAAUUCAGUUCUUCCAAGUCCUGCAAAUAGUCAUUUCC